rnacentral:lncRNA from 1 species
CGGGUCAUUAAAGAAGAAGCUGCGUCGACUCAAGAUGGAAUAUCGACCGUGCUUGAUCAGUGUAUUUUGCUUUUCUUAUUUUUUAUAAUCAAAUCUGUAAUCUGACUUUGAUCCAACUUUGUAAUUUCUUUUUGACAAUGAAUAGAAGAAUUUUUCUUCCAAGUCCAAAUGUUUGUCUUGCUUGUGUGCAAUGUCGAAUUUGCCAUGU